GAUGAACGCUGGCGGCGUGCCUAAUACAUGCAAGUCGAGCGAACAGACGAGGAGCUUGCUCCUCUGACGUUAGCGGCGGACGGGUGAGUAACACGUGGAUAACCUACCUAUAAGACUGGGAUAACUUCGGGAAACCGGAGCUAAUACCGGAUAAUAUAUUGAACCGCAUGGUUCAAUAGUGAAAGACGGUUUUGCUGUCACUUAUAGAUGGAUCCGCGCCGCAUUAGCUAGUUGGUAAGGUAACGGCUUACCAAGGCAACGAUGCGUAGCCGACCUGAGAGAGAGACGUGGCAGACUGGGACAGAGACACGGACGAGACGACAGCGGGAGGCAGCAGGAGGGAAUCGGCCGAGAUGGGCGAAAGCCUGACGGAGUAACGCAGCAGGGAAGAGGAAGGUUUUCGGAUAUUAAAACACUUUUAAAAGGAAAAAAAAAAAGUGUAAGAAACUAUGCACACCUAGACGGGACCGAAGCAGAAAGCCACGGCUAACUACGUG
rnacentral:rRNA from 1 species